rnacentral:rRNA from 1 species
CAGCCGCCGCGGUAAUACAGAGGAUGCAAGCGUUGUCCGGAAUUAUUGGGCGUAAAGGGCUCGCAGGCGGUUUCUUAAGUCUGAUGUGAAAGCCCCCGGCUCAACCGGGGAGGGUCAUUGGAAACUGGGAAACUUGAGUGCAGAAGAGGAGAGUGGAAUUCCACGUGUAGCGGUGAAAUGCGUAGAGAUGUGGAGGAACACCAGUGGCGAAGGCGACUCUCUGGUCUGUAACUGACGCUGAGGAGCGAAAGCGUGGGGAGCAAACAGGAUUAGAUACCCCAGUAGUCCCUGUCUCUUAUAA